UGCGUAGGCGGACCCGUAAGUCAGUGGUGAAAGUUUGCAGCUCAACUGUAAAAUUGCCAUUGAAACUGCGGAUCUUGAGUGUAAAUGAGGUAGGCGGAAUGUGUUGUGUAGCGGUGAAAUGCUUAGAUAUAACACAGAACACCAAUUGCGAAGGCAGCUUACUAGGAUACAACUGACGCUGAGGCACGAAAGCGUGGGGAUCAAACAGGAUUAGAUACCCUGGUAGUCCACGCAGUAAACGAUGAAUACUAGCUGUAUGCGAUAUACUGUAUGUGGCAAAGCGAAAGCGUUAAGUAUUCCACCUGGGGAGUACGUUCGCAAGAAUGAA
rnacentral:rRNA from 1 species